GUCCAGUCUGUCACUGCGCCGUUGGCCGGUGCUAGGCUUGGUCAUCCGUAGGGGAAACCAGUGCGGCCUUCAGUGGUCGGCUGGCGGAACCUACAAUUUACUGUGAAAAAAUUAGAGUGUUUCAGGCAGGCAAUCGCUUGGAUACUCCAGCAUGGAAUAAUGGAAUAGGACUUUGGUCUAUUUGUUGGUUUGAGAUCAAAGUA
rnacentral:rRNA from 1 species